GGUUCUUGUUCAAAAGUAUUUUUAGCUCAUUGCUUUUUUUGUGGUGAUCAUCUGUUUACUUAGAAAAUCUUUUGCAUUGUUUUGAAAUAGUGUAAGGACAUUCUAAAAUGGUUGUCAAUGGAGACAGAAGGAGACUUUUACUUACUUGAGAUCCCUGGAACAAAGUCUUAUCUGGAUCAGGCUAUUCAUUUGAUGAAUAUGGCAUAUGACACCCCAAGAUAUGGCCCUUUGGACUUUCAUCUGAGGGCCCCUGGGAAACAGCAAAUGCAGUGAAGGGCCUUGCCUGAAGUUCACUUCUACCUUAAAGGCCAGAUCCUCUAGGAAACAUUAGGUUGUUGUGAACUCUUCUCUAGACAUCAACCAGCAGACACUGAGGAACAAGGAUGGAAGAAAGACGAGAGUUGACAUUGUGGAAGGAAUUGGUCCCUCUCCCAUCAGAAGCCAGGAGAAUUCGUUCCAUUUCAGGAGAAUUCCAACUACAUAAGAGGGGAGAAGUCAGGGACUGUAGGUUGACACCUCCCUUCUCUAGAGAGAGAACUGUGCUGGCCCAGUGUUGACUUCUCAGUUUACCAGAUGAAGCCCCUUAG
rnacentral:lncRNA from 1 species